rnacentral:rRNA from 1 species
UACGUAGGGCGCAAGCGUUAUCCGGAAUUAUUGGGCGUAAAGAGCUCGUAGGCGGUGUGUCACGUCGUUCGUGAAAACCUGCAGCUUAACUGUGGGCGUGCGGUCGAUACGGGCAUCACUGGAGUUCGGCAGGGGAGACUGGAAUUCCUGGUGUAGCGGUGAAAUGCGCAGAUAUCAGGAGGAACACCCGUGGCUAAGGCGGCUCUCUAGUACGGUACUGACGCUGAGACGCGAAAGCGUGGGGAGCGAACAGG